rnacentral:lncRNA from 1 species
GGGCGAUCCCAGGUCCCAGGGGCUCAGGGUUUGCAGCGGUAAAGGGGAGUCCCUGCUUCCCCUGGGGAUAACUCCCUAGGAAAAGUCUAGAUUUCAGCACUGGGAGCCCCGAGGUUGUAUUUCCUGCUUGGUGGGAAUGUCACUCCUGCUAGCUGCCUCUGCCCAGAUCCCAAGGAGAGAGGUCAGCCUUCUCUGAGGCUCUGUGCAGGCCACAGCAACUGUGCAGAGAUAGGCAUCAGUCUGCACCGGGUCAGGAGAGAAGGGAGUCAAGUUUCCCCAGGGGCCGUUUCCCAGAAGUGGACUGGAGGUGGAGGCCUUAGCCUGUUCUGUGUCCAGCCAGCCCGUGCCAUGCCGCUCUUUCCGGCCAGUGACCUUGGUUCAUUCUCCUGGAUGAAAAGCACCUGUGGGAGCCCUCCCCGUUCUUGGAAGGAAGCUGCUGUUUCUCAAAGUGAGUGUGGAGGUAUCCGCCUGGGGAGACAGACUCAAGACCUGUCAAGAAUAUGUUUACAGGGGGCUUGUGCACUUGCAAAGCAUUUAAACAACGGCCCAUCAAUUGGAGAACUUUGAUAUUUUUGUAAACCAUAAGGAGACGCUUUAAAGAGGGAUUUCCCAGCUGGGCCUGGUGCUUGCCCCUGGCUGAGGAAAGAGGAUAGCAGGUUCAAAGCUUGCCUGGACAACUUAACAAAACCCUAUUUCAAGAUAUAAGAAGCCAAAGGGCUGGAGCUGAAGCCCGGAGGUAGAGUACUUGUCUAGUGUGAGGCCCCAGUCAAUCCUCUUUCUACUAGAAGCACAGAUGCAGGCGAACCUCCCAAAUGUCUCAGGUACCACGUUCUAGAUUUUCUUUUGUCCUUCCUCCUUGGGCGACCAUGCUUAUAAUCAAGCUUAUAUUUAAAUCUGUUUUAACAACUGUUGAGAUUAGUGUGUAAGUAUUCUGGUCUUUUAAACAUUUCUGCUCUUCAAGUAGGUGUUAAAUGUCCCCCAAGUGACUUACUUUAGCUCCACUUAAGCCAGUUAGUUCACUUGCGCUCAAGGCCUCUGGCAUUCUUGUUCUCUGUUUCUGAGAUGGCUUCGGGGCCGUACCACCCCCUGCAUCAUCUGCCUCCAUCUAGAACCUGUUCCUAGAGGGCGGAUGUUUCCACCUGAUUUCUUCCCAACUAAAUAAUAAAGGAAAGAGAACACAGAUUGUGUCACAAAGUUGAGAUUCUUCAGAGAGGUAGGAUGAGUGAAUUCCUUCCUGAGAAAGAGAGAUCCACUCAAAGAGGCUUGGGGCAGUGGGGUGGGGUGGGAGGGUGGUUUCUAGGCUGGUAGCUCUCUGUCCUGGGGCUUCUGCCAGAGACAAGAUCCUGAUGUCACUGAUAU